rnacentral:rRNA from 1 species
UAGGGAAUCUUCGGCAAUGGGGGCAACCCUGACCGAGCAACGCCGCGUGAGUGAAGAAGGUUUUCGGAUCGUAAAGCUCUGUUGUAAGAGAAGAACGUGUGUGAGAGUGGAAAGUUCACACAGUGACGGUAACUUACCAGAAAGGGACGGCUAACUACGUGCCAGCAGCCGCGGUAAUACGUAGGUCCCGAGCGUUGUCCGGAUUUAUUGGGCGUAAAGCGAGCGCAGGCGGUUGAAUAAGUCUGAAGUUAAAGGCAGUGGCUUAACCAUUGUUCGCUUUGGAAACUGUUAAACUUGAGUGCAGAAGGGGAGAGUGGAAUUCCAUGUGUAGCGAUGAAAUGCGUAGAUAUAUGGAGGAACACCGGUGGCGAAAGCGGCUCUCUGGUCUGUAACUGACGCUGAGGCUCGAAAGCGUGGGGAGCAAACAGG